CCAUAUACAGACACCAACUAGUAUCCCCUUUAUGAUCUAACCAGGUCAUUACAGUAUAUACAGUAUCUCUACCAUAUACAGACACCAACUAGUAUCCCCUUUAUGAUCUAGCCAGGUCAUUACAGUAUAUACAGUAUCUCUACCAUAUACAGACACCAACUAGUAUCCCCUGUAUGAUCUAACCAGGUCCUUACAGUAUAUACAGUAUCUCUACCAUAUACAGACACCAACUAGUAUCCCCUUUAUGAUCUAGCCAGGUCAUUACAGUAUAUACAGUAUCUCUACCACAUACAGACACCAACUAGUAUCCCCUUUAUGAUCUAACCAGGUCAUUACAGUAUCUCUACCAUAUACAGACACCAACUAGUAUCCCCUUUAUGAUCUAGCCAGGUCAUUACAGUAUAUACAGUAUCUCUACCAUAUACAGACACCAACUAGUAUCCCCUUUAUGAUCUAACCAGGUCAUUACAGUAUAUACAGUAUCUCUACCAUAUACAGACACCAACUAGUAUCCCCUUUAUGAUCUAGCCAGGUCAUUACAGUAUAUACAGUAUCUCUACCCUAUACAGACACCAACUAGUAUCCCCUUUAUGAUCUAACCAGGUCAUUACAGUAUAUACAGUAUCUCUACCAUAUACAGACACCAACUAGUAUCCCCUUUAUGAUCUAGCCAGGUCAUUACAGUAUAUACAGUAUCUCUACCAUAUACAGACACCAACUAGUAUCCC